GACACUAUGGCCGAGUGGUUAAGGCGACAGAUUCGAAUCACAUGUUCGAUCAUCUGUUUCGGUUUCCGAGCGCAGGUUCAAAUCCUGCUGGUGUCG
rfam:Trametes pubescens strain FBCC735 TRAPTBscaffold_1670, whole genome shotgun sequence.